UUCACUGUUAAAAAAAGAAAAAGAAAAAAAAAAGAGAGAAGGUUUUUCAAGUACACAAAUGGCCUAUGCUUCUUCUUGUUCAAUAAGUACAUUUGUCUUCAACCUCCCUCGAACUCGGCGGUCCUCUCCGAUUCAGACCACCUGAGUCUAGCCUUCCCGGUUUAGAUGCUCUGCUGGGCAGACCGGGUUCUUCACCAAACUCGGUCGUUUGAUCAAAGAGAAGGCCAAGAGCGACGUCGAUAAACUCUUCUCCGGAUUCUCCAAGACCCGCGACAACCUCGCCGUCAUCGACGAGCUCCUCCUCUACUGAAAUCUCUCCGACACCGACCGCGUCCUCGACGAAUUAGAAGAGAUUACUAUUAAGAUUGUGGAGAGCUUGCGGGAUGAUAUAUAUGCUGGGAAGCUCAAAUCAGAAAGCGAGAUAAAGGAUGCCCUGAAGAAGUGUGUGUUGGAUUUGGUAACUAAGAAAGGGAAUAAAGCAGAGCUUCAACUUGGAUUCAUGUUUGGUAACUAAGAGAGUUGUGGCUUGGGCCAUUUUGGAUUUGGUUGAUGGCCUGCUCAGAAUCUGUCUCAAUCUCCACAUCCAUUUUGCCUUUCUGAAAGAGGAUGAUAAGGCCCCUGUAGAUGGCCCAUAGUUCAGCUUCCAAGUUUGAGCAACGUCCUAGCUUGCCAUAAUAUCCCCAUAUCCAGGUUCCAACUUUAUCCCAUAGUAAUCCUCUAUGACUAGCUUGUCCUAGGCCACCUUUAGAGCAUCCAUUUGUAUUAAAUUUUAGUUUGCCUGCAGAUGGUAUACAUCAAUUAACUAAACUAGUUUGGGUUGGAGAAGGGAUUAGAAAGCCUGAUUAGUCUCUGGAACAUAAUUCCUUAUGUUCUUGAGAUUGGUUUGAAUGGGGUUAGCCAAGUUUUCAAAAAGCAUUUUGUUGCGAUCCUUCCAAAUCUACCAAAGGGUUACAACGAAAAUGAGGUACCAUUUGUUACCAAAAAAUAGCUUUUUAUUUCUCAUGCUGGAAGUAACCCAUUCAAACAAAGGUUGUCCACAUCCCUGCUCCCACCAAUUAUGAUUCAUAAUUUCAGUCCAUACUUCUUUGGAUUUGGGGCAGUCCUUGAGGAGAUGGCUUAUAUUCUCACUAAAUAGCCCAUAUCUAGGACACAGAUCAGAAGUUGCCAUGUUCCUCAUAAGCCGCAAAUGGUUAGUAAGCAAUCUUUCUCUCAAAAUAAGCCAGAGGAAACAUCUUAGUUUUAGGGGAAUUUUGAUCUUCCAGAUCCAUUUCCAAUCUUUGUCAUCUCUUUUCUGAUUGGUAAUGAUUUUAUAGGCAAAUGCAGUUGAGAAGUUGCCAUUAGAGGACCCAAUCUAGGAAGAAGCAUCAGUGUAGGUCACAUAUCUAGGCCUAUAAAUCUUGAGGAUA